rnacentral:tRNA from 1 species
ACCUAAAUAGCUCAGUUGGGAGAGCGUUAGACUAUAGAUCGAAAAGUCCCUGGUUCGAUCCCGAGCUUCGGCA